CUACGGGGCGCUGCAGUGGGGAAUAUUGGACAAUGGGGGAAACCCUGAUCCAGCAAUGCCGCGUGUGUGAAGAAGGCCUGCGGGUUGUAAAGCACUUUCGGUUGGGAGGACUGCUUCUAGCACUAAUAUUGUUGGAAGUUGACGUUACCUUCAGAAGAAGCACCGGCUAACUCCGUGCCAGCAGCCGCGGUGAAUACGGAGGGUGCAAGCGUUAAUCGGAAUUACUGGGCGUAAAGCGCGCGUAGGCGGCUAGAUCAGUCGGGUGUGAAAGCCCCGGGCUUAACCCGGGAACUGCAUCCGAUACUGUCUAGCUUGAGUACAGGAGAGGAGAGUGGAAUUCCACAUGUAGCGGUGAAAUGCGUAGAUAUGUGGAGGAACACCAAUGGCGAAGGCAGCUCUCUGGCCUGAUACUGACGCUGAGGUGCGAAAGCGUGGGGAGCAAACAGGAUUAGAUACCCUUGUAGUC
rnacentral:rRNA from 1 species